GGCCUCCUCGAUUUCCUCCCCACACUUCCUCGUUCCCCAUUAUCUCCACCGCCUUGAGCCUCUCUUUGCAGCUGCCAGCGGCAUCCUUGCCCAGGGCCGCCGCCCUCCUCCCCCUCCCUGACACGUCUGACGGCGUCGACUCAUCCUCUUUCGUUUUCGCACUACUGAGGUGCUCGGCCAGACCCCUAGGAACGCGCCCGCGGAACCCUAGCCUUAUGAGGAGGAUGAGCAUCUUCACGCGAUGAGACCCGUCGCUAUAGGCUCCGCCAGGAGGCCCAGAACGCCUUCGCCGAGCUCAAGAAGGCGGGGCAUGGGGAGAGUUGCGGUGGUGGCCGGGACCAUGGAUCCGGCGCGUGGGCUGCAGCUUGCGGUGGAGGCUUCCUCUGCCAUCGAUGACAAGGAAGAAGCAGAGGGCACGGACUGGGUGGGGAUUGAGAGAACCCGUCGACGCCUCGACGGUGGUGGUGGGGACGAGUAUGGCUCGGAUUGCUGCUGCAGCCAACGCACAGUCUCGCCCCUACCCUGAGUUCUUCUCCGGCCGAGCUCCCCGCCUUCCAAGGUGUCCUGAGGGCUUCCCUUCGAAGAUCCCUGUGGUCGUCGGCCUUCUUUUCCUCCGGCCAAUACCUAUGGAUUCUCGCCGGUUCUCUCCGCCAGCGGCCUGGGUACGGGCGCCACGGCAGGUGCGUUGUCUCCGCGUUCCCAGAUGGUCGUUUCCGCCCUACCCCGGCCGACGCCCGACGACUACCCCGCAGGCACGGUCACCGCCUCCACUGGUUUCCCGUCCUACCGCCACGCACUGCGGUGGCCCUGCUCCGCUGCCCUUCUGGAUGCCGACCUGGGCGACGCCUGGUCACAUCCCAGUCACACGCGGGCACUGCUGCCCCUCUUUCUCUCUCUAACCUGUCCAGGCAAAGAUGGAGAGUCGUCGACGGGGUGGCCAAGGACAAGAUCUCCAAGUUGCUUGGCCUGAGCACGCUCCAAGGGUCCAAGCACAACACCGCGCGAGACCGCCCCUGUCUGCGUGUGCAGGACUGGAGGAUAACGGCAAGGAGUUGGGUGACCAGGCCUGAUGAAACUCAGUUUCUAGGGUUUACAGUUCCCGUGCAUAAGGCGAAGCUAUUACUGGCCAAGAAGACUCAGUCCUUGUGGGCGAGUCUAGGGUCGUUGAGCUUACCACGAAUUAAGUAAAUAUACGAAUCGUUCUUCUAGGUUUACUCCGGUGAGCCAACAAACAAAGUGACCGAUGCAACCUGAAACUGCACCGACAAACCAGCAAGCUCCUUCACUUGACAGGGGAAAACAAAAUAUUUGUUCUUCUUUGCAAAAUAAUAUGUAUAAAUGAUCAGUGAGGUAGCGCUUGCCAAUGAAAUCAAGUUCUUGCUACUGUUGUUGACAGAACCAUACUGUUUUUCCUGUUUAAUCACAGAGUCCUGCUUGAUAAAAAAAACUUACGGGUAACAACAGUUGUACACACCAUAUUCUAACAGGAAUGAAAUAUCAACAGUAAUGGAGAAGGUGAUAAAUUAAUUGGGAUCUUCCGUUCAACAUGGUGGAGCUGGUGUACAACAUCUGAUACAGCUUGAAGCCUCUCUCUCUCUCAUAUUGAAUAUUCGGAUGCAGCAUCAUCUGUACGUGUACAUCCAUCAGGUACAUGUUUAAAGUUCAAUGCAUAGAGCAAGCAAGCCGCUCAAUUCUAUAAUUUAGUUAACAUUGCGUGCAUAUAGUUUGGCUGCAAUUCUUAAUCCUUUUGUUGUGAACCUUUCAUGUUUUUGAAGUUCUAGGCACUAAAUAAUCUUACUACACAUGCUGGUUGGAUCCUAUUUGUUUCAUACAAUUCUAGGCACUAAGAAGGAAUGUAUAUUUCUAGAUACCUACACAUAAGUGGCUGAAGCUUUUGCAUGAUAAAAUGGAUUUGCCUAAUGAUAAGUUUUGAGAGAUAGGAAAUUUGUGGCGACGGCCACCCAUCGUCCAGGCUGCUCAAGCAUGCCCUGUUUUUAUGGCCUCGGCCCUAACAUCUAUACACAUUCUACUCUAUGAUCAGUACUUGAGUACCUCACUUGGAAAUACAAUGCGCACAUUUUUCUGUCUUAUGUUAAACUGCCAAUUUUGCAGAUGCAGGUUGUGUUAUACAUAUGUUAUUUCAGAGUUUUGUUUGACAGGUUUUGAGAGCUUGCCUCAUCUUUUUGUAAGAAUGAAGGGCUGAAGUAUUUUAGAGCUUUAUGUGCUCUACCUUCUUGCAUUUCCUAUCAAUAUCACUAUUUCAAGUCAUCAUUCCUUUAUGGUCAUAAGAAAGUUCUCCAGCCCAGUUAAUCUAGCUCUCUUUGUCAACACCUACCAAUCCCCUCUUGCAGGCUCUCUUUCCCUACAAUUUUCUCUGUCGACAACCAUGUUCUCCUUUUCUCCAACUAAAGGGAUACUUGCAGCCUAGACUCCCCUACAAAUCAGGAAAGUGUAUUUUCAUCUCAAAUUUCGCACCCAGGACAAUUUUUAUUUCAGAUCAUCGGCUUUGUCUUAACUUUCCUUAAUAUGUCAGGAAAGUGAAGAUAUACUUGUUUCAGAACUUUUCGCUAAUUUGACUAUUCAACCUUGGCCAUUUUGUGUCACUCCAAAAGAAGAUUCCCAUAUGCCUGUACACCACUAAAUGUUUGGCAUAUAUAAUUCAAUGUACGAAUUUUACAAUUUGCACUAAAAUGAAAUGCGUGUUUCUUAUAUGUAGAAUCGGAUAGAUGAAUUGUUACGACAUUUUGUUGUUUGAUGCUCCCAAAAAUUGAUUUAUUCUCUUAACAUGUAGUAGCAUAGUACUAUUCAGCAAAUAUCACCGCAGAUACUCUUUUAUUCGAUCAACCAUGGAGGUUGAAAGUACAUAUUUUCAUGUGUAAGCAUGGACAUUCAGUGCAUUAUCGUUGCUAGAAAUCUCUUCCAUCAUCUCUACCACCCACCUCCCAAACUCUAUGCCUAUCGACACUUAUAUAAAAGAAACAGAGGUUUGUCCACUCCAAAUGUUUUUGUAGUUCGCUUAAAUAUGUGGUUUAAUUUAGAAGUGGACCCAGCACUAAGUAUGGCACAUGUGAUUGUCGAUUUAUCAUGGCAGUUUCCUCUGAUUAUAUUUAUUUUUGCUGAUCAAUGGUUAUCUACAUAAAACAAUAUGGCCAUGUUGUUUCUACCAAAAUAAUUUUAACUUCCUGCUGUAAUAAUAUGGUCAUGUUGUUUUUCUUCUUUUUAAUUCUACCUGCAUGUUUCCUUCUGAAAAGAUUACUGAAAGUGGUCACAAUUGCAAUUAUCUGCUACGGGACAUAUACAUUUGGGCUCAUAUUAGAUAGGUAAUAGAAACUUAAACUUGACACAAGGAAAAUUUUAUAUAAUUUUCCACACUGCUACUGUCAGAGCAUUUUCAUAUUUGGAGUGCGUUUACAUAUUAGUUAAUCAAUUCUAGCAAAGGUAUGUUAUGGUCCGUUCAUUUGCCAGUACAUCUUGGAACUCCCACUAUAUUCCCAUGAAUUAAGAGGACCCUAGCCCAUAUGUGAUCAUUUUUGUGAGGGCACUACUUAUGCACGCUAUAGCUUUUACCCAACAUAGUUAGUACCAUUCCCGUAAAAAAACAUAGUUAGUACCAUUAGCUUUUUGAUAACCCUAGACUCUCAAGGAAUCUAUCUAGCCAUCCAGGUCUCACGACAUAAUCCAUCCAAGUGGUUUCCAUUUCCUUCACGAGUCAUGCAAUACUUGAAGCUAUAUUGUUGUAUAGUUAGUUCAUGUUAUUAGGGAAAAUUAAGCAAGCUAUAGAUGUCCAAGAUACCUUACCUUUGCAAAGUAUAUCUCAGAUAAAUGAAGUCAAUAUAAUUUUUAUGAUACC